AGAGUUUGAUCAUGGCUCAGGACGAACGCUGGCGGCGUGCCUAAUACAUGCAAGUUGAACGAUGAUUUCUGGUACUUGUAUCAGAAUGAAGAGUAGCGAACGGGUGAGUAACGCGUGGGUAACCUACCUCUUAGCGGGGGACAACUAUUGGAAACGAUAGCUAAUACCGCAUAACAAUAUUAAACACAUGUUUAAUAUUUGAAAGUACCAAUUGGUACACUAGGAGAUGGACCCGCGUUGUAUUAGCUAGUUGGUAGUGUAAUGGACUACCAAGGCGAUGAUACAUAGCCGACCUGAGAGGGUGAUCGGCCACAUUGGGACUGAGACACGGCCCAAACUCCUACGGGAGGCAGCAGUAGGGAAUCUUCGGCAAUGGACGAAAGUCUGACCGAGCAACGCCGCGUGAGUGAAGAAGGUUUUCGGAUCGUAAAACUCUGUUGUUAGAGAAGAACGUUGUGUAGAGUGGAAAAUUACACAAGUGACGGUAUCUAACCAGAAAGGGACGGCUAACUACGUGCCAGCAGCCGCGGUAAUACGUAGGUCCCGAGCGUUGUCCGGAUUUAUUGGGCGUAAAGCGAGCGCAGGUGGUUUAAUAAGUCUGAUGUAAAAGGCAGUGGCUCAACCAUUGUGUGCAUUGGAAACUGUUAGACUUGAGUGCAGUAGAGGAGAGUGGAAUUCCAUGUGUAGCGGUGAAAUGCGUAGAUAUAUGGAGGAACACCGGUGGCGAAAGCGGCUCUCUGGACUGUAACUGACACUGAGGCUCGAAAGCGUGGGUAGCAAACAGGAUUAGAUACCCUGGUAGUCCACGCCGUAAACGAUGAGUGCUAGUUGUUUGGAGCUAUCCAGCCCUAAGUGACGCAGCA
rnacentral:rRNA from 1 species